rnacentral:lncRNA from 1 species
UAGGUCAAAUGGACAUGAAGUUGGGAGUGUAAAGAAGAGAAGUGGAUCAAGAAAAGAGACAAAUUAGGCAAGAUUUGCAAUUUAGAAGACUGUAACAAAGUUGGGACAGAAAAAUGAAUGUACUUUGUUUGAUUGAUGUAUCAUAAUUAAACUUACCCACAAAAUGAAUAUUUGAACCUUUUUUUCUUGGGUAGUGGAGUGUGGUGGUGAGAGUUGGAUAUUGUUGAAAAGUUUUUACGUUCUUCAAUAGGAAGUACACUUGUGUAGUGGAGUAUGGUGGUGAGAGUUGGAUAUUGUUGAAAACUUUUUAUGUUCUUCAAUAGGAAGUACAUAAAAAUGGAAUAUAGGGUUUAGAUUAUAUUCUAGUUCUUAAGAGGUAUCAAUACAAGGAGUACUA